AACAAAACCAAACCAAACUGAGCGAUCACCUUAGGUCACCAACCUUUUCAGAACCAUAAUCUUUACAGUGCUAAGUCACCCAUAUGCCCUUUGUGCUACUUAAUAAAUGCGGCAGUAAAUCAUCUCCUUGUAACAUCUCAUACCAAAAACAAGCGUUUUCUCAACAGAGACUCGCUUCAUGGGAAGCACCCUAAUUGACGCUCCUAAACUCCGGUGACAAAAUGUCUCAAGAACAGCAUUCGGCACUUCUGCGAGCAGGGACCAUAGGUGUGAUACUUCAGUCAAACUAUGCCAUUGGUUGUCGCCUCCUGAAAUACAAGAUUAUAACCAAGUUAAUCAUAAUUUGAUACUUGUAUGUAAUUUCUAAUAGCAUGGAAAAGCAUCUUUCCUAGUAAUUAUAAAUGCUGAACUUGGUGGUGAAUUCGCAUGUGGGCCUACCAGGCUUCACAAUAAACAAAUACACUCCUCCCCACAACCUUCAAAGAGACAUAAAUAAUUGUACUUUGCUCACAUGUGAGACCUAACACACAAAAAAAUACCAGACCCAUGGCCUUGUGCCGCAAUCAACUUACUAAUGACUACCUUGAUAGGAUUUAAAUUCGCAUAUGAUGUCUCACUUCAAAUCUUGCAAAGUACCUACUACGGUCACUUAAAAUUCUCCGACGCCUACCACUCAUUAUCAUAUUUUUGCUUUAUUUUAAUCGUCAAUCGUGUAACAGCCUUAGGACACUAUCAUCUUUUCACCGUCUCCUAAACCAGUGGCUUAACUCUUCGUUUUUUAUGACUACGCAUGGGCAUUGUGCUAGCAGGCAAUACAAACUGAGUGGAGCGAGUCCACAUUCAGUUAUCCAAAAUGGAUGGUUUCGCUAGAAAAUAUAAUUUUUAAUAGUCCAUAGACUGCAUAGCUUUUUUCAUAGUGUCAAAAAAUGAUCUUAAAGUUUGGAACGGAGGGAGUAUAAUUUAGUUAUUACUAGCCAAAAUAGCAAGAUACUAAUGAAGAACAGAUGUAAAAAUUCCCAAGUGAGAGAAAUACCUUUUUGGUCGGAUGCGGUCCUCCUCAAAAUCCAUUAUUCCUCCAGAUUCAGAGAGAAAGUCGUCAUGCCCCCGUAAGUCAUUGUCUGCCUGCUUACAUUGUUCAACUUCUGCUAUCAAGUAAGAAAAUGGUCCGGCAAUUCCACUAUUUAAUAAAAUUAGUUGCUACCAUAUGAACAUUCAACAGUUGAUAACUAAAAUCAGAAAGCAAACAAUUUUAGGUAAAAAAUACAGCAGAAUGAAUAUAAUCAACAACCUAUUGUCAUAAGAGAUAUGCAAGACUUUAUCAUAGCUACAGAAAAAAGGAAAAUAUUUUAUAUCUACUAAAAACUAUAAAUAGUAGGAACUUUCAAUUUUAUCCAACUGACCUUGACUGACUUCUUGGCUUCUUCCACUCUGUCUUCAAAUUCUUUCUGGUGCUUCUUGUUCAAUUCACUUGUUGUAUCCGCCCACUUGAUUUUCUCCUGAAUUUGGUGUAAUAAAUUAUCUGAUGUUCCCAACCUGUGAAAUGUACACAUUUGGAUCAUAAUGGUAACAAUAUACUUCUGUCGAGCCCCUUGCGAUACAGUCACUUCAUAAUGCACAGUGGAGAUAAAAACAAUAUUUUAACUUCUUUAGUUUGUUAUAGAAAUGUCAGUCGUAGAAAAACAACAUGCAUACAUGUCACAACAGCCAACUGACAGACGUUUAUCUCCUUCAUAACUAAUAAGGGGAUUCAGACAUAGCAGAGAGAAAAAAGAACAUGCCUAGACAUGCUACCCACUACAGUUUCAGAACAGAACUGAAAAUUACACUAACCAAAUAAUGGUUAUUCAAAACAAUAUGAAAAGAUUCACAUUUCUUGAACAGAUGGAGAUAAACUUGUCGAAACAUAUAAAUACACACCAGUCAGACAAGGUCUCAAUCAUGUUGGUUAGCUGAUCAGGUGUGAGGUCCCUUCCAGCUGCAAAUUGUACCUGAAAUACAAGGAAACAAAUAAUAAGGGAAUAUUGCUAGAAAGGUGAAGGAUAAAUUCAUCAAUGAUGUAACAUAUAUAGGCUCCAUAUAUGUCUUACUUCAAAGCACCGCCGCAGUUGGUCCAACUUGCCUCUGACAAUACCCUAAUGAAACAUGCAAAAUGUUACAAAAUUGAAGCAAAUUAACUAAAUGUUUUGGAAAUCAAGAAACACAGUAUAUUAAUCCUAAAGGGUAAAGACAAAACCACACAGCGAAGACAUAUCACAAUCUAAAUCUCACAAAUAUAAAAAAUACUCCCUCCGUCCCAUAAUAUAAGAGCGUUUUUGACACUACACUAAAUGAUAAAUAAUAAUUUCAAAAGAGCCAUUUCUUGCUAAUGAAGUUGAAGGAUGAGAAUGUAUAGAAUGCAAGUGUGUAAUAAAAGAGAACACAAGGACUUACUGAGUACAUGCACUCAUUGAUGAGGAAAUCUUCAAGUUCUCUCACAUUGGAAACGUCUAGCUCUUGCAUGAGCUGAUCAUAUGGAAGUACCUAGAAAGGAAUGAGAAAAAAAGUAUGUUUACGAUUACCUGGCGUCAAACAUAGCUCAUAUCAGAAUUAAAAAGAAUUACUGCCUACUCCCUCCGUUUCUAAAUAUAAGCCUUUUUAGAUAUUUCAAUACGGACUACAUACAUAUGUAUAUAGACAUAUUUUAGAGUGUAGAUUCACUCAUUUUGCUCCGUACGUAGUCCAUAUUGGAAUCUCUAAAAAGUAUUAUAUUUAGGCACGGAGGGAGUAUAUACGUUUAAUCAAGCUAAAAAGAUAAAGAUAGGCCCAGAAAUUUUGUAACCCUUGAUUACACAAACAUAAUGAAGUUCCUGCAGCUAUUGUUUAUCAAUUUAUAAAGGAAAAAUACCAGUAAACCUUGCAGACUUGGCUCCCAAACAUACAGAAAUACACAAACCAUUUACAACUAGAGAACUAAGAGGCACUAGAAGAUUCAAGAAAUCCAGACAACAAAUACACCGUCCUAAAACGACAGGCAGCACUGGAACUACUGCUCACAUGAUUACAUGCGAGUUUAUCAAGCUUCAUUCUGUGUCCAAAGAAAGGGGAGCUGAACAGAAAUGCUAGGCAUAUUAGACAAGAUAGCUAGAAUUUAUACCUUGGUUGACUCAGCCAAAGUUAGCACACUGAGUUGCUUCAGCUUCCGGGCUUGAUCAGGCAACAAUGCAGGGAGGGCGCUAGAAUUACCUACAGAUAAAGAGUAAUUACUCAAGCAAUACAUUUUCAUAUUUUCGUAUGUUGCAGGGCAUGCUAAUGGUGAUGAUAGAUGAAACAAAGUUCUAGCAAUCAAAGACAUGCUAAACUAAGUCAGAUGCCCAAAGGCAGGAAGGAAUUCAUGCCAGCAACAAUUUCACCCAGAAAAGGGUGACUGCUGCAUAAAAAGGCAAAUUGAUUACCAGAGCUGAAGCUCUACUUUUAAGCACAUCAAAACAAAAUUUGGAAAAUUAUCUGCAAAGGACACAACACAGGAACAGGUGGCUAUUUGUAUUAAUUCAACUGAGCAUCAAAGCGUAAACAUCAACCGUUAAUUAGACGAGUAAAAUUAUGUAGAUUUAACGUUCCCAGCAAAGUUGCCCUGUUAUGCGAUCAUUAGGGCUUCAGGGCAAAUGGCUAAAUUAAUAGCGUACUACACAAACACAUGGCAGAUCAGAUAAUGAGUCACAAAGCACAAAAUACAACAAACUGGAAUAAACAAAACACCGCCUACAUAUCAAAUCAAAAGGGCAAUGCAUCAUGUGUGCACAUCAGGCCAAGGGAGAUAUCUUACUCUUGUAGUCCUUGAGGGUGCCGUAGGCGAAGAGGCGGAGCAGGUCCAGCGACGAGGCGUACUGCGUGCCCGUUAGCUGCACCAGAGGAGCCACACCACGGAACAAUAGAUCGAAUCAGAAACCCCAUGGUGGGAACUGAAAACCCUAACACCUAACACCGCGUCGGCGCAUAGACGGGCAGAGCAAGCAGCAGAUACCUUGGAGAGGGCUGGAAGGGUGAGGAGCUCGGAGAAGGCAAAGAGCGCCGGGUGGGAGGUGGCCUCGAGCACGAGCGCCGCCAGCUGAGGACCCGAGGAGAGCGCCGCCGCCUGCGCCGAGAACUGCUCGAUCAGCUCCGCCUGCCGCCGCUCCGCGUCCAUCGCCAUCUCAGCCGGCGACGGGAGGUGCUGGUAGGGUUAGGGUUCGGGGGAUCUCUGUCUCUCCUGCUAGUCCUGCGGUUUUGCUUUCGCUUCGCCUCCCUGUGGGCUUCUCGUGUAGUUUUUGGCUUCCGGUGGGGUUUUGGUUUGGAUUUUUGUUUCGGGAUGGAGUCGACUCGGUGCCGGUGGUGUCCGCCAGGUUGCCGCGUACUUUGCGUGGGUCGCUUGCGUUGAGAUUAGUUGUAUUUAUUUAUUUAUUGAUUGACGAGAGAGAUUAGUUAUUUUCUUAGUCGCGUUGAGAUUAGAAUUUUUUUAAACAAAUUUAUAAAAUCUCAAAAUAUGAUAUCAGAAAAUUUCAGUUAUAUAUAAUCCCACUAUCCUCCCCUGGACCGAAGAGUGACUCUUCGUCGCAUGGGCCAAAAAGCGCUCUACGUUUCAAGAAAGGCUGAAGAGAGAGUUUUGACUCGUUGCCAAAUUCUUGCUCCAACUAAACUGUCAUGAUGACAAAAAUUGAUUAAGACAAAGAAUAACUUGAACCGUGCAUCAUGGAGAAUGAAUUAUGUCAGAUUGGUCUAAACAAACCAUCGCAAGCUUACAUCACGCUCGGUGAGAAAUAUUUCAAUUACUCUCACACAUAUACUCAUCUAGAUGAUGCCAACUAUCGGUAUGGGGACCAUUGGUUUUACUCGCCCAACUGUACACGAGCCACAAUAGCCUUCUUGCCAGGGAAAGACGCCAAGUGAACGCUUUGUCAAAAUAAUCUCCCUGAGAUCUGUAGUAGUAUGCAGAUCUUUGUUAAGGCCAUCACCAUGGAGUCCGUGAUAGCAUGCAGAUCUUUGUCAAGGCCAUCAUCAUGGAGUCUGUGGUAGCAUGCAGAUCUUUGUCAAGAUCAAAUAUACAAACUCCGAAAUCAAUACUAUAAUUAAGCAAUUGUUUUCUUUUAAUAUCCUUUUCAAAUCUCCAAUCCACAACGGGUAAAUCUAUCGGACAUACACGAACACAUACUUCACAAGCAAUACAUUUAUCAAAUUCAAAGUGGAUUCGCCAUCGGAAACGCUCUGGUGUAAUUGAUUUUACCUUCGCUAGAAUUCCACAUCAGCAACAAGGUGUGUAUCAAGAAGAGUUGUCCAAGCAACAUGGCAACAAACCCAAGGUAAGGGAUAUCUGGGAAUCGACCAUGGCGUCCUGCAAUGUCGUUCCUACCCGAUCCACGAAGGACCCGACCCACAUUGGCAAGCGGUGGCAACAGGGCACCACAUCAAGUACGUGGCGUACCAGUGCUACGCAAACAUACCUUUUCCGUUAAAUGGCGAGCGUACAGGUGUAUUGGUGGAAUUACAGUGAUGCAUGUGAUGAAUCAUCACAUGUUUAUCGUGCGGUUGACACAUGUACUGCACACGUAUGCGUGUCGCACUAAUAUUAGGUAGAUACUUUAAGCGGCGUAGAUGUGACGGGUAUUAGUUUCGGAGGCCAGAAGAUGAUCACAUUGCAGGUCAUUUAAUGCAUCUGCCUACUCUAUCACAGCUAGGUAUAGACUACUGUAGCCCUUGUGGUACCUCUUGAGUUAUAAAAGAAGGGCCUGACUACACAGAAAAGGGCUGGACUUUAGUUAAUACAUAAAAGCACACAGAUAAUUAUUCCCUUGCCGGUAAAGACUUGUAGCUAUCUGCCCACAGCAUAAAAACUAACACAAAGUAGGAGUACGGUUUUACACAAUCAUGCAGCCCGAAUCUGGGUAGAUCCUCAUGUGUUAUACGAUCUCAUUAGGUGUUGAUCCUCAUUUUGUUCCCUACACCACGAAUCGGCAAAGGAGUCUUUCCAGUCCUUGGUGUCUCGUGUGUGUUCUGCACAUGCACGACGACACCAACCUCAUAGACACUAUCCCUCGUACUAUUCUUGUCACUGACCGCGCACACCAUGAUCCAUGUCAUCCGCGGGCGUGAAUCGGAUGUUGCCAACUCCAACAAUGAACACAAUUUUAAGAGGAGUAGUGUAUAGGAUGUUAGUGACAUCUAGAUGAGUAGAUGUGUGCAAUUAAUUGAAAAUGUCUCAUCGAGUGCGAUGUAGCCUUGCACUGGUCAAUGCGGAAUGAAAUUUCGUCCUCCGCAAUGCAUGAUUAAAGUGGUUCUUCAACUGAAUGGAUUCUCCUCAUCGAUGCGGUCUUGGUGGUGUGAGGGUUUGACCAGGACAAGUUGUGGUGUAUAGGGAUGUGCAUGCUAGGUGAAUGUCCACUCUUCCUCUCUUACAUGAACUCUUCAUCUAUUACAGGAACGCAAAACCCACUCUUGGUUUAUUACAGGGACGAAGCCCAGCUCUUUCACUUUCCUACGAACGAAGGGUGAUCUUUAGCCCAAACUUGAACGGAAAGGGCCUCAUCAGCCCAUGUGUGGAUGAAGAGUCACACUUCGUCCCAGGGGAGGACAGCCAGGGUAUAGAACAUGAAUUUAUUAAAUCCUAUCCACAUCUUUGAAAUUUCAUAAAAAUAUAUUUUAAAAAUAGAUUACUACUCCAUGUGUGUUGUUGCGGGAACUUGUUAAAAGAAAUGCAUAAAUAUGAAAGGUUGCUAGCCGAUGGCUGGCUGUAGGGGAGGAAAAACAAUCGCCUCCCCUGCCUUCCGAUGCGAUGCACCUGACCGUGUGAGCAUGUUCCCUCUCCCCUGCUCCAUUCCAUCUUUAUUGCAUGAUGCAACACCAUGUUAGAGCAGUUGCGAAACCGCUCGAGCAACUCAGCAGCCCUCGCGUAGCAUUCCCCACAACAACUGUUGGCUCGUAGCACCACGUUGAUCCACGUUGCAAUAGGCUUCGACACCCCUCGCCGUAGAACUUGCAGCAUCAAUGACCAUCAUCGUAGCAUGCGUGCAGCAGCUUUGUCGCAAACAUCCGACCACCCAAUGCUGAGCUUGUCAUCGAUGGAUGGCUUUGCAGCAGCUCCUCACAACGCUAGGUGAUGUUGCAACCGGCAAGCUAGCAACACCAUGCUUCUUCCCUUCGCAACAUAGGUGAUGUCGCGACGCGGUGAGCUCAUUGAUCAAAGCAGUAGGUGAUGCUACAAACCUGCCACCCUAGUUGCAACACCUCAUCGUCACAACAUCCACGGCUCAGUGCUACUGCCCAGUCAAAGCAGAUGUCAUCCGACACCCCGUCGUUGCAGCAGACCUCGUCCGGUGACUCACCAUUGGAGCAGACCCUAUUAUCAGCCUUGCAACAACAACAAGCCUCUUCACAUGCCUUGCAACGGCAAGCGAGGUGAUGGCCAGUGGUGAUGGUGUGGCGUGUGAUAGAUGUAUGGAUGCACUGGUAAAUUGUAUAGGUGCACUAGUUCAAAUUAUAACUUUUACACUGGUAAAUUGGAUGGUAGAAAUAGUUGUGUAAUAUGGAUGGUAGAAAUAGCCUUUUAUAACCUGAACAAAUAACACCAGCAAGGUAACAAGUGACAAAAGUGAGAAAAAACGAUGUUCAAUGCUUGGAAAUAAGGCCUAGGUUUCAUACUUUCCCUAGUGCAAUCUCUCAACAUCAUUAACAUAAUUGAAUCACAUGAUAAUCCCUCAAAGCGUGACAAAAAAUCACUCCAAAGUUUCUAUUUUUAUUAGAGAAAGUAAUAUGAAAUUGUGUAGGUAGCAAAACCACCUCAAGGUCAGUCUUUCCAGUCAAUCUAUUAAGCCACCCCAAAGUCUCAUGAAUAGCCCUAGAGAUCGUACUACGACAACGACAUAUGAAACAUAUAUCAAAUAACCUUUAUGUCACCUAGAACACCCCAUUUGUGUUUGGACCUUCUCAGUCCAUAGAAAAAUCACAGUAAAUUUUCAUCGGGUUUGGACCUUCAUAGAUAUGUUUUCUGUGAAACAAGAAACAUGGAAAAAAAGAGGAAUUGGCACUGGGCACUGGAUUAAUAUGUUAGUCCAUAAAAAUAAUAUAAAAAUACCAAAACUAUAUAGAAUUGAUAUAAAUAUAGCAUGAAUACUUCAUAAAUUAUAGAUACAUUGGAGACAUAUUAGGUGGUUGGCACAAAUUGUUGAUUAGACAGGUGUAUUGAAUCGCUUUCAUGAAUAUGUGCUUAAAAGGACUAAAACUAAUGAAAAAACAAAAAAUAAGAGUGUUCUUGGUUCAAAAUUUUAAAAUAAUAAAACCUACGAAGUAUGUGAAAAGAUGGUGUAUAAAAAAUUGAAUUUGACACAAUGCACCAUCAAGUAUGAACUAUAUAUUUUACUUUAGAUGUACAUGAUACGUCUUCAACGUAUCUAUAAUUUUUUAUUGUUCCAUGCUAUUAUAUUAUCUGUUUUGGAUGUUUAAUGGGCUUUAAUAUGAUCUUUUAUAUUAUUUUUGGGACUAACCUAUUAACCGAAGGCCCAGUGCAAAUUGCUGUUUUUUUUGCCUAUUUCAGCGUUUCGCAGAAAAGGAAUAUCAAACGGAACGAAACCUUCGCGAGGAUCUUUUUUGGAACAAACGCAAUCCAGGAGACUUGGAGUGGACAUCAAGGAAGCAACGAGGCAACCACGAGGCAGGAGGGCGCGCCCCCCACCCUCGUGGGCCCCUCGUAGCUCCACCGACCUACUUCUUUCGCCUAUAUAUACUCUUAUACCCUGAAAACAUCCAGGGGAGCCACGAAACUACUUUUCCACCACCGCAACCUUCUGUACUCGUGAGAUCCCAUCUUGGGGCAUUUUCCGGCGAUCUGUCGGAGGGGGAUUCGAUCACGGAGGGCUUCUACAUCAACACCAUAGCCUCUCCGAUGAUGUGUGAGUAGUUUAUCACAGAACUUCGGGUCCAUAGUUAUUAGCUAGAUGGCUUCUUCUCUCUCUUUGGUUCUCAAUACAAAGUUCUCCUCGAUGUUCUUGGAGAUCUAUUCGAUGUAAUACUUUUUGCGGUGUGUUUGCUGAGAUCCGAUGAAUUGUGGGUUUAUGAUCAAGAUUAUCUAUGAACAAUAUUUGGUUCUUCUCUGAAUUCUUAUAUGCAUGAUUUAAUAUCUUUGCAAGUCUCUCCGAAUUAUCGGUUUAGUUUGGCCUACUAGAUUGAUCUUUCUUGCAAUGGGAGAAGUGCUUAGCUUUGGGUUCAAUCUUGCGGUGCUCGAUCCCAGUGACAGAAAGGGAACCGACACGUAUUGUAUUGUUGCCAUCGAGGAUAAAAAGAUGGGGUUUAUAUCAUAUUGCUUGAGUUUAUCCCUCUACAUCAUGUCAUCUUGCCUAAUGUGUUACUCUGUUCUUAUGAACUUAAUACUCUAGAUGCAUGCUGGAUAGCGGUCGAUGUGUGGAGUAAUAGUAGUAGAUGCAGAAUCGUUUUGGUCUACUUGACACGGACGUGAUGCCUAUGUUCAUGAUCAUGCCUAGAUAUUCUCAUAACUAUGCGCUUUUCUAUCAAUUGGUCGGCAGUAAUUUGUUCACCCACCGUAAUAUAAGCUAUCUUGAGAGAAGCCACUAGUGAAACCUAUGGCCCCCGGGUCUACUUUACAUCAUAUAAGUUUCCGAUCUACAAUUCUAGUUUACUAUUUAUUUUGCAAUCUUUAUUUUCCAAUCUAUACAACAAAAAUACCAAAAAUAUUUAUCUUAUUAUCUUUAUCAGAUCUCACUUUUGCAAGUGGCCAUGAAGGGAUUGACAACCCCUUUAUCGCGUUGGUUGCAAGGUUCUUGAUUGUUUGUGCAGGUACUAGGCGAUUUGCGUGUAGUCUUCUACUGGAUUGAUACCUUGGUUCUAAAAAACUGAGGGAAAUACUUACGCUACUUUGCUGCAUCACCCUUUCCUCUUCAAGGGAAAACCAACGCAUGCUCAAGAGGUAGCAAGAAGGAUUUCUAGCGCCGUUGCCGGGGAGAUCUAUGCUCAAGUCAAGACAUACCAAGUACCCAUCACAAACUCUUCUCCCUCGCAUUGAAUUAUUUGCCAUUUACCUCUUGUUUUCCUCUCCCCCACUUCACCCUUGCCUUUUCUUCGCCUCUUUCCCGUUUGCCUUUCUUUCGCCAUGGCCGAAUCAAAAAGGGCUAAGGGUUCUCUCCCGGGUUUUAGUACUUUGGAUAGUCCCUUUGUCCUCUCUAAGCUCAUAAAUAAUGAUGCUAUGGAAAGACCUACCGGGGUUAUCAAUGAGAGUUUGAAUAAUUUCGAUGAAGAUGAUCCCGGAAUUUUUCGUUAUUUACUUGAUGAGUCUUUGAAAGAUGCUUGGGAUAGGCUAUUAAGGAUCCGUGCCAGCUAUGUGCCCCAAUAUCAAAUUGAGAUAUACCUAAAAAGCUUCUAUGUUGGCUUACCCUCUUCAUUCAAGAAAGUUUUAGAUUCUAUUUUUGAAGAAGGUUUUCUUGAGGGGGAUGCCAUAGAUACCUAUGAAAAGAUGAAAACUAUAUUUGGGCACCCCAUGAGUGAGAAGGUUGAAUCCACCUCUCUUUUGUGCUUUUAUCAAAAUGAAAUUAUCAAAGAUAUGAAGACUAGCUUAGAUGCAAAUUUCCGUAACGUGCUUAAUCUUUCUUCCACCAUUAAUGGACAUGUGCUUUCUCAAAAAAGAAAGAUAAAUGCUAUAGAUAAGAAAUUUUAUCUUUUCUUUCCCAAUACCAAAGAUGGCAAUACCUAGAUCUAUCCUUGCUUUAUGCCUAGCUAGGGGCGUUAAACGAUAACGCUUGUUGGGAGGCAAUCCAAUUUUAUUUUUGUUCCUGUUUAGUAAUAAAUAAUUCAUCUAGCCUCUGUUUAGAUAUGGUUUUUAUAUUUUAAUUAGUGUUUGUGCCAAGUAGAACCAAUAGGAUCUUCUUGGGUGAUAGUUGUUUGAUCUUGCUGAAAAAGACAGAAACUUUGCGCUCACGAAUAUAAUUGUUAAAAUUCACCAGAACGUGAUAAAAUACCAAUUCUUUCUGCAGUAGAUCAAUAUACAAAUUAUCCAGGUUGUCCUAGUUUUUCAGAAUUUUUGGGGUUCCAGAAGUAUUCGAGAAAAUCAGAUUUCUACAGAUUGUUCUGUUUUUGACAAAUUCUGUUUUUCUUGUGUUGUUUGCUUAUUUUGAUGAAUCUAUGGCUAGUAUCGGGGGGUAUGAACCAUAGAGAAGUUAGAAUACAGUAGGUUUAACACCCAUAUAAAAAAAGAAUGAGUUCAUUACAGUACCUUAAAGUGGUGAUUUGUUUUCUUUCACUAACGGAGCUCAUGAGAUUUUCUAUUUAAAUUCUGUGUUGUGAAGUUUUCAAGUUUUUGGGUAAAGAUUUGAUGGAUUUUGGAAUAAGGAGUGGCAAGAGCCUAAGCUUGGGGAUGCCCAAGGCACCCCAAGGUUAAAUUCAAGGACAACCAAAAGCCUAAGCUUGGGGAUGCCCCGGAAGGCAUCCCCUCUUUCGUCUUUGUCUAUCUGUAACUUUACUUGAGGCUAUAUUUUUAUUCACCACAUGAUAUGUGUUUUGCUUGGAGCGUCUUGUAUGAUUUGAGUCUUUGCUUUUUAGUUUACCACAAUCAUCCUUGUUGUACACACCUAUUGGAGAGACACACAUGAAUCGGAAUUUAUUAGAAUACUCUAUGUGCUUCACUUAUAUCUUUUGAGCUAGAUAAUUUUGCUCGAGUGCUUCACUUAUAUCUUUUUAGAGCACGGUGGUGGUUUUAUUUUAUAGAAAUCAUUGAUCUCUCAUGCUUCACUUAUAUUAUUUUGAGAGUCUUUUAGAACAACAUGGUAAUUUGCUUUGGCUAUAAAAUUAGUCCUAAUAUGAUAGGCAUCCAAGAUGGGUAUAAUAAAAACUUCCAUAUAGAGUGCAUUGAAUACUAUGAGAAGUUUGAUACUUGAUGAUUGUUUUGAGAUAUGAAGAUGGUGAUAUUAGAGUCAUGCUAGUUGAGUAAUUGUGGAAUUGAGAAAUACUUGUGUUGAAGUUUGCAAGUCCGGUAGCAUGCACGUAUGGUAAACGUUGUGUGACAAAUUUGAAGCAUGAGGUGUUUCUUUGAUUGUCCUCCUUAUGAGUGGCGGUCGGGGAUGAGCGAUGGUCUUUUCCUACCAAUCUAUCCCCCUAGGAGCAUGCGCGCAGUGCUUGGUUUUGAUGACUUAUAGAUUUUUGCAAUAAGUAUGUGAGUUAUUUAUGACUAAUGUUGAGUCCAUGGAUUAUACGCACUCUCACCCUUCCAUCAUUGCUAGCCUCUUCGGUACCGUGCAUUGCCCUUUCUCACCUCGAGAGUUGGUGCAAACUUCGUCGGUGCAUCCAAACCCCGUGAUAUGAUACGCUCUAUCACACAUAAGCCUCCUGAUAUCUUCCUCAAAACAGCCACCAUACCUACCUAUUAUGGCAUUUCCAUAGCCAUUCCGAGAUAUAUUGCCAUGCAAAUUUCCACUGUUCCGUUUAUUAUGACACGCUUCUUCAUUGUCAUAUUGCCUUGCAUGAUCAUGUAGUUGACAUCGUAUUUGUGGCAAAGCCACCAUUCAUAAUUUUUCAUACAUGUCACUCUUGAUCCAUUGCCCAUCCCGGUACACCGUCGGAGGCACUCAUAUAGAGUCAUAUUUUGUUCUAGUAUCGAGUUGUAAUCCUUGAAUUGUAAAUAAAUAGAAGUGUGAUGAUCAUCAUUAUUAGAGCAUUGUCUCGUGUAAGGAAAAAAAAGAGAAAGGCCAAAUAAAAAAAGAGAGAGAAUGCCCAAAAAAAGAAAGGCCAAACAAAAAAAGAGAAGGCCCACAAAAAAUGAGAGAAAAGGAGAGAAGGGGCAAUGCUACUAUCCUUUUACCACACUUGUGCUUCAAAGUAGCACCAUGAUCUUCAUGAUAGAGAGUCUCCUAUGUUGUCACUUUCAUAUACUAGUGGGAAUUUUUCAUUAUAGAACUUGGCUUGUAUAUUCCAACAAUGGGCUUCCUCAAAUGCCCUAGGUCUUUGUGAACAAGCAAGUUGGAUGCACACCCACUUAGUUACUUUUGUUGAGCUUUCAUACAUUUAUAGCUCUGGUGCAUCCGUUGCAUGGCAAUCCCUACUCCUCGCAUUGACAUCAAUUAAUGGGCAUCUCCAUAGCCCGUUGAUUAGCUGCGUCGAUGUGAGACUUUCUCCUUUUUUGUCUUCUCCACACAACCUCCAUUAUCAUAUUCUAUUCCACCCAUAGUGUUAUGUCCAUGGCUCGCGCUCUUGUAUUGCGUGAAAGUUGAAAAAGUUUGAGAAUACUAAAGUAUGAAACAAUUGCUUGGCUUGUCAUCGGGGUUGUGCAUGAUGAGAGCAUUUUGUGUGACGAAAAUGAAGCAUGGCCAAACUAUAUGAUUUGGUAGGGAUGAGCUUUCUUUGGCUAUGUUAUUUUCAGAGGACAUAAUGGCUUAGUUAGUAUGCUUGAAGUACUAUUAUUUUUAUGUCAAUAUUAAACUUUUGUCUUGAAUCUUUUGGAUCUGAACAUUCAUGCCACAAUAAAAGAAAAUUACAUUGAAUAUUAUGUUAGCUAGCAUUCCACAUCAAAAAUUCUGUUUUUAUCAUUUACCUACUCGAAGAUGAGCAGGAAUUAAGCUUGGGGAUGCUUGAUACGUCUCCAACGUAUCUAUAAUUUUUUAUUGUUCCAUGCUAUUAUAUUAUCUGUUUUGGAUGUUUAAUGGGCUUUAAUAUGCUCUUUUAUAUUAUUUUUGGGACUAACCUAUUAACCGAAGGCCCAGUGCAAAUUGUUGUUUUUUGCCUAUUUCAGUGUUUCGCAAAAAAGGAAUAUCAAACGGAAUCCAAACGGAACGAAACCUUCGCGAGGAUCUUUUUUUUGGAACAAACGCAAUCCAGGAAACUUGGAGUGGACGUCAAGGAAGCAAUGAGGUGGCCACGAGGCAAGAGGGCCCGCCCCCCACCCUCGUGGGCCCCUCGUAGCUCCACCGACCUACUUCUUUCGCCUAUAUAUACUCUAAUACCCUGAAAACAUCCAGGGGAGCCACGAAACCACUUUUCCACCGCCGCAACCUUCUGUACCCGUGAGAUCCCAUCUUGGGGCCUUUUCCGGCGAUCUGCCGGAGGGGGGUUCGAUCACGGAGGGCUUCUACAUCAACACCAUAGCCUCUCCGAUGAUGUGUGAGUAGUUUAUCACAGACCUUCAGGUCCAUAGUUAUUAGCUAGAUGGCUUCUUCUCUCUCUUUGGUUCUCAAUACAAAGUUCUCCUCGAUGUUCUUGGAGAUCUAUUCAAUGUAAUACUUUUUGCGGUGUGUUUGCCGAGAUCCGAUGAAUUGUGGGUUUAUGAUCAAGAUUAUCUAUGAACAAUAUUUGGUUCUUCUUUGAAUUCUUAUAUGCAUGAUUUAAUAUCUUUGCAAGUCUCUUCGAAUUAUUGGUUUAGUUUGGCCUACUAGAUUGACCUUUCUUGCAAUGGGAGAAGUGCUUAGCUUUGGGUUCAAUCUUGCGAUGCUCGAUCCCAGUGACAGAAAGGGAACCGACACAUAUUGUAUUGUUGCCAGCGAGGAUAAAAAGAUGGGGGUUAUAUCAUAUUGCUUGAGUUUAUCCCUCUACAUCAUGUCAUCUUGCCUAAUGCGUAACUCUGUUCUUAUGAACUUAAUACUCUAGAUGCAUGCUGGAUAGCGGUCGAUGUGUGGAGUAAUAGUAGUAGAUGCAGAAUCGUUUUGGUCUACUUGACAGAGACGUGAUGCCUAUGUACAUGAUCAUGCCUAGAUAUUCUCAUAACUAUGCGCUUUUCUAUCAAUUGCUCGGCAAUAAUUUGUUCACCCACCAUAAUAUGUGCUAUCUUGAGAGAAGCCACUAGUGAAACCUAUGGCCCCCAGGUCUACUUUACAUCAUAUAAGUUUCCGAUCUAUAAUUAUAGUUUACUAUUUAUUUUGCAAUCUUUAUUUUCCAAUCUAUACAACAAAAAUACCAAAAAUAGUUAUCUUAUUAUCUUUAUCAGAUCUUACUUUUGCAAGUGGCCGUGAAGGGAUUGACAACCCCUUUAUCGCGUUGGUUGCAAGGUUCUUGAUUGUUUGUGCAGGUACUAGGCGAUUUGCGUGUAGUCUCCUACUGGAUUGAUACCUUGGUUCUCAAAAACUGAGGGAAAUAUUUACGCUACUUUGCUGCAUCACCCUUUCCUCUUCAAGGGAAACCAACACAUGCUCAAGAGGUAGCAGUACACCGCAAAAUAUCAUCUAUGACAACACAAAAUUUAACGUAAAAAUGUUGUGGCUGACAUGCAUGAAUGACUUGAUUCCUUUGAAGAUAAGACAUGCAUGACUUGAUUAGGUGGCAUGAUUUGCAAGGAUAGAUUAAUGCAAAGAAAUAAUUCAUGUGUACGGGUCAUUCUCGUUACCUUCCCCGCCUUCAUGCCUCGAUAAAACGGUAGCCUGGUGAUGUAGGGCACACUUUGAAGAUGGACCAAGAGGAAUAACAAGAACACAAGGGGACCAUACAAUCAAAGAGAAGAUCCUAAUCACACAUGCACUAUUUCCACAAAUCCACACAUGGUAACAAGAUCUACAAUCAACUAAGAGAGAGUAGCCAGGGUAGUUCUUCCCAAAUCCAUAAGGGGUGAGGGCUUGCCAGUCUAGUUAGAUCCUUCUCCCUUAGGAAGUCUUAAUGAUCUAGAGACACUAGUACACACGAUCGUUAUCCACAUGGUUUGAAUCCCUAAUUGCUGAUUAUUUCUGAAAAUGUGUGCUCAUGUGGGUUGGUGAUGGGGGGUCAUCCCUGACCAAAGCGAAAACAUUUGCGAUAACAAAAUCGUCUCGCACGUCUUCCAUUAAAGGAAUUAUAGUUGAACUGCACAAAAAAGAGAUUGGAAUGACUCAAGGCCCCUCCUU
rnacentral:lncRNA from 1 species